ensembl:rRNA 5S_rRNA 5S ribosomal RNA
GUCUAUGGCCAUACCACCCUGAACACACCCAAUCCCAUCUGAACUAAUAAGCUAAGCAGAGUCGGUCUUGGUUAAUACUUGGAUGGGAGACCACCUGGGAAUACCAGGUGCUGUAUAGC